CUAAGUUUUAAAAAGAAAAAAUGCACAACAUUCCCAGAAGACCAGCAGCAGGAGCGACAUUCCACAACCUUGAAUUUAAGGUGCUUCCUGUUUACUUCUCUGUGAAUUAUCAUUGCCACCUCUGUGAAAUCACCUAGCCACAUGAGGUAGCAAAGCUGCCUGCCACCCAACGGGCUGCAGGGGGAACUGUUUCAUUUGUAUUAGAGUUCUUCAAAGAAAGAGGGAGAAAGAGUGAGAAAGAAAGAUUAUGGAAAUUCACUCAUAUGAUUACGGGAGUCAAAAAGUCCCACCAUCUGCCUUCUUCAAGCUGGAGAACCAGGAAAGUCAGUGGUGUAAUUCAGUCCAAGUCCAAAGGCCUGAGAACCACGGGAGCCAAUGGUAUAAGUCCCAGUCUGAAGCCAAAGGCCUGAGAACCACUGGCAGGAGGGCAGAGGAGUCUUGCUGGUAUAAGACCCAUAAUCCAAAGGACUGAGAACCAGGAAGCUUUGAUGUCCAAGAGAAGGAGAAGAUGGAUAUCCUUGCUCAUGCUUCUUCUGCCUUUUAUUCCUAUUUGAGCCCACAACAGAUUGGAUGAUGUCUGCCCACUUUAGUGAGGGAAGAUUUUUUUUACCCGGUCUACUUAUUCAAAUGUUAAUAUCUUCUGGAGAUCCUCAUACAGACACACCCAGAAAUAAUGUUUUACCAGCAAUCUGGGCAUCCUCAGCCCAGUCAGGGUGACACAUAAAAUUAGCCCUUACAACAUUACUGCCAUUUUACAAUACAGUGGCAAUGUAUGAAAACGCUAGGUCCCCUACAUUCUUGGCAAUACUUGGUAUGGUCAGUCUUUUUCGUUUUAAUCAUUCUAAUGGGAAUGCUGUAAUAUCUCAUUGUGGUUUAAUUUGUAUUUUCCUCAUGAUAAUGAUAAAGAAUAUCUUUACAUGUGCUCAUUUGUCAUCAAUAUAUUUUCUUUAGAGAAGUAUCUGUUCAAUUUUUUUGUCCAAU
rnacentral:lncRNA from 10 species